CACCAAGAACAUCUAAAAAUGAACAACUGUCUUCGCAAGCAGAAGGAACGCCACUGACACCUGUACAUGGAUAAGGAACAUACAAUAACAUAGAAUAUGAAGGCAUGGAAGGAUAGUCUUUGAAGAUAACAACUUUGUAGACUUCUGCAAUGAUGUUUUAAAGUAUUUUUUUUUAAAUGUUCGAUGGUAUGCAAUAGUUAGACUGACGUCACCUGGAGAUAUUGAUGAAUCAAGAGACUGCCAUACAUACAGGAUGUCCUAUAUAUGUAUUGUGAUGUUUAUAUCUAAUUUGCAUGAUUUUUCUUCAAAGUUUUAUUUUACCUUAUUAUAAAAAAUUUUAAUUGUGUUUUACAUUGAAAUUCUAUUUUAUUCUUUUUACAUGAAACCUGUGUUCAGUUUUUAGAAUUGUGUUCCGUUUUGCUAACAGUAUUUUUAUUUAUAAAUUGUGUUCAAUUUUUACAUAUAUUUGUAAAUUGUGUUCAAUGUUUACAUAUAUUUGUAAACUGUGUUCAAUCUUUGCAUAUAUUUGUAAAUUCUGUUCCAUUUUUAUAUAUAAUUGUGUUUACUUUAUAUAUAGAAUAUUGUGUUCAAUUGUUUACGUUGAAAUUUGUGUUCCAUUUUAGUUCACUUAUCUAUCAACUGUCUGCCCGCCCGUCCAUAAACAUUUUACACUUUUAUUUUCUUCUCUAAAACGCUGGAGCAGUGUCAUUCAAAAGUGAGAUAAAGUAUUCCUGGGUAAAGGGUUUCUAAGUACGUAUGCUAAUUUCAAAAGAGAUGUAAGCAAUAUCAUAAAAUGGAGUGGACUACUUUAAAAGUAUUCUUCUGAAAAAUCACUGGUCCAGAAAAGACAAAACUUACAAGAAAACUUCCUUAAAGAACGUAAAUUCAGAAUUGUUCAAACCAUCGCCCUACAGGGGUAGGAUAAGGCCACGACAACGGAUCAUUGUAUAUAAGUGGGUAUAUAAGGAAAUAUAGUUUUUAAAUAUUUUCUUGAAGACCAACAAAUCCUUGAUAAGUCAUAUUUAUGUGCAAGUAUCCUCAGGCAAUGCAGUUUGAAACUUUUGCAAAUUAUUACUGCGGUUGGUAAGGUGGUACCACAAGAUGAAAUCGCGAUUUCAUAUUGGAAUCUACAGAGUAAAAGAGAACCAUAAUUUUUUUAUUAAUAAGCAAGCAUCUCUAGGUAGUGUAGAUACAGGUUUGUUCAAUUAGGGGCUGCGGGGGUUGGAUGAGGCCAGAAUGGUGGAUCAAACCUUUAGAUGGGAAUAUAUUAUCAAAUAUCUUUAAAAUCUCCCUAUGAUCAGCUAAUAAUUAGUCAUGUUAAUAGGCAGAUAUCCUCAGAUAGUUUAUACUAAUAGGUUUUGAAAUAAUUGUCCCCCCCCCGCCCAACGUAGGGUGAGACCACAAUAGGGAUAUCAUUGGAAUUUUUCCAGAAAUGGGAAUGAUAGGAAACAUUCGGCUAAAGAGUAGCAAUGUCAUGUUUAAAGAUAUUAGUAUGCAAGUACAUUCAAGCAGGUCAAAUUCAAUUUUUUUUAACGUCCUGGCCAGGGGAAUAGGAUGGGACCUCAAUAGGGUAUCAAAGUUUUACAUAAGAAAGGUUUUAAGAAACUUAUUCUUAGCAGGGCCAGGGUUAAUCAUAUCAUUGUUGAAGCAUCCCUGGAUAUUGCGGAUUCAUUUUGGGGAUAUUCAUUGACCACAAUAGUUUUACUCCACCUCUGAGAUCAUUCAUCCUUUCCUUUCGUCACCUCUCUUACAAUGUAUGGGAUGGGGAUUGAAAAUAUUGCUUUUGUAGAUUAUUGACCAUGGGGUAAGGCUGGGUCUAGAAUCGGGAAUAAAAUAGUUCAUGAUAUACGAAUAAAAGAGAACAAGUGGCAUUUCUAUGUUUUGUGGAUUCAAGGCUGGUUAAGGAUGUAUGG